rnacentral:rRNA from 1 species
CAGUAGCCGCGGUAAUACGGAGGGUGCAAGCGUUAAUCGGAAUUACUGGGCGUAAAGCGCACGCAGGCGGUUUGUUAAGUCAGAUGUGAAAUCCCCGAGCCUAACUUGGGAACUGCAUUUGAAACUGGCAAGCUAGAGUCUUGUAGAGGGGGGUAGAAUUCCAGGUGUAGCGGUGAAAUGCGUAGAGAUCUGGAGGAAUACCGGUGGCGAAGGCGGCCCCCUGGACAAAGACUGACGCUCAGGUGCGAAAGCGUGGGGAGCAAACAGGAUUAGAUACCCCUGUAGUCCCUGUCUCUUAUAC